rnacentral:rRNA from 1 species
GACGAACGCUGGCGGCGUGCUUAACACAUGCAAGUCGAACGGAAAGGCCCUGCUUUUGUGGGGUGCUCGAGUGGCGAACGGGUGAGUAACACGUGAGUAACCUGCCCUUGACUUUGGGAUAACUUCAGGAAACUGGGGCUAAUACCGGAUAGGAGCUCCUGCUGCAUGGUGGGGGUUGGAAAGUUUCGGCGGUUGGGGAUGGACUCGCGGCUUAUCAGCUUGUUGGUGGGGUAGUGGCUUACCAAGGCUUUGACGGGUAGCCGGCCUGAGAGGGUGACCGGCCACAUUGGGACUGAGAUACGGCCCAGACUCCUACGGGAGGCAGCAGGGGGGAAUAUUGCACAAUGGGCGGAAGCCUGAUGCAGCCACGCCGCGUGCGGGAUGACGGCCUUCGGGUUGUAAACCGCUUUCGCCUGUGACGAAGCGUGAGUGACGGUAAUGGGUAAAGAAGCACCGGCUAACUACGUG